AUAUAUAUUUGAUUAGCUAGAUAUAUAUAUUUUAGCGUUGCUGGAUUAGAUAGGAAUGUGAGAUUGUUUGUUGUUUUAUAUAAAUUUAUUUUUUCGUUUGACUUCCUCUUCUCUUUUAAUUUCGCUGUUAAGACCGAAACUCAAUUCAUUUACCCCGAUGGAUUCUGUCGCCACGAUUUUCUUGCCUUUUGAGUUUAGCUAUCGAGGAUAAUUCUAACAAUCCUAUCUGUGUGGGACUCGUGUGAUUUCGCCAGCCUUGCCCAAAGACGGGUAAUAAUUUACCAACAGUGGGAGGAGGAAGGCGAAGAUCGAUGGGUGUUCUCGAUAAUUGAAAACACCGUUCGCACAAGCCGACACAACGGACAACUCCUUUGUUUAAAAUUUAAGCAAUGUUUCUAUCUUAAAAACCGUAAAUGAAAUCGAUGAUAGGAGGUUUUGAUUCAAUUCUCGAGGACAACGAGAUUGCCAGAGAAGAAGAAAGUUUUUUAAAUUUAAUUUUCUUACCUUGAGGAAAAGGUGCUAUCGGGUGCCAUCACUCCAGCUGUCCCGGUGAUCGUCGAAGGUUGUUGGGUUUAUUAUUUAAUCUCGAAUAUAGUUUUCUAUCAACCUUUACUUUAUUAAACUAUUUCGAUACAAAUUGAGUGACUUGCUAACUGAAUUGAUAUCGUAAUGAAGACUUAAAAUUUUACUUUAUUUAAUCGCGACUCUCUUUUCUUUAUCGAAAAACUAAAGACCCCGAAACGCAAAAUACUUAUACAAAUUUCUAGACGCAAAGAAUAAUGAGCCGUAAUAACAAACGAUCGCAAACUAAUGAACGAAUAAUGAACUGAAGAACGAAUAAAGAAUUAAAGAACGAAUAAUGCACGAAUAAAGAACGCCGCGCUAUGUUGCAUCGCUUAUUUAUAAUGCCAUCCCCCACGGGGUGGUGGUCCGCUGGGGGUACGCUUCCGUGGGAAUCGGGAUGUUGCAGUUUGGGCUUCUUGGAAUCGUACGUGACAAAAUGUAAAUUUCAUAUUUCGACUUAGUUUUUUAUCAGUCCUGUGUUUCCGCUGAGCUAGCGUCUAGGAGAUUUGAAGCAUUCCACGCUGAUCUAGUCCUUUCCGCGAGAAACUUCCACGUGCUGUACCGUGGGAAUUACCGGUGUUUCUUCGGCGCGUGGAAGGGCUGGUGGCUUCAGCAUCAUUAUCAUUUUAAAGUUUGCUCGGGCAACACGCGCAACUCCGCUGCUCUCCCAUAACAAAGACCUCCUCCUUCGAAUUGUUUUGCGCUUCGGUGAUCGACGUUCGAACCAUGUUUGCUGAGUCGUUUCUAUCAGAGGUUCCUUUCCAGACUUCCCUGCCCAAGCGAAAGAGGGAUUCCGAAGAGCCCAUGGGCGACUCGGGGGAACCCAUCAAGCGCAUGCGGCCUUGUGAUGGACCACGAGUGUCGGGGAGUUUGGAGGAACUGUUUUACAUUGGUGCCGAGGCUGUGUCGAAAUUGGGUUUUGACGAUUUAGUUACUUUCGACGAGAAUUUCUUUGAUGCGGAGACCGUCAUAUUGGAGAGGGAACCCCCUCUGGUUGAAAUCGUCGAUACCGAGCGUUGCGUGAAAGUUCGUUUUGCGAAUGAAAUUCCCGAAGAGGUUUUGGAGGCACAUCAUCGUCACCAUGCUUCUGGGAGAAAGGGAAUUUCCCCUGUUGUGCGCUAUUGGUGUAUGUGUGAGUUCAGCGAACUUUAUCCCGGAGCUCCUUGCUUCGAUUUUAAUUUAUUGUAGCUGCCUCAAUUUUGUUGGUUCGCUGUUUUGAUGUUCCUUAUUAUUAUUAAUUUUGUGUUCAAUAUGUGUAUGUAUAUAUAUAUAUAUAUAUAUAUAUAUAUAUAUAUAUAUAUAUAUAUUUUAGUCUGAUAGUGUUAGGUUAUCUAUUUUACAUUUGUUAAUUUUUUUAAUUUUUAUAUUUCCCCCCUUUUAUUUAAAUAUAUAUAUAUAUAUUUUUACAUUUGUAGUUGCCCAUAAAAUUUAUUAAAGAAAAGUGUUAACAAUGUGUUUUCAUGAUUUGUUUCUCGCGCCUGACUUCCAUUAAUCCCUAAUAUUCCUGUCGCCAUGACGCGUGUAAAUCCAACAUGGCCGCUCAUAAAUGUCAUCAGUAAAGUUUUUAGUGACGGGUCUUUAGUUUUGUUUGAUAUCGAAGUAAUUUUCGUCUGUCGCUCGUUUUUUCCUUAUUCUACCGCAAUUAGAACAUUUAUUUAUUAAUAUUAUUAAAUAGUAUAACUCGUGUGAAUAUACGUAUAUAUAUAUAUGUUUAUGUUGUGUGUCACUUCAGUAUAACUAAUGUUUUGUAAUUCUUCGAUUGCAUUAUUUAUUGUUUCGAGUAGUUUAUUUUAUAGAGUAUUCGAUAAUAUAAAACAUAUGCACUCACAGAUACAUAUAUAUAUAUAUAUACGUAUUUAUAUGCACAUUUCUCUUGCCCAUGUAAUGUUCAUACGAAAUGAAAUGUUAAUUAUUUAUUUUAUAUUAAUUUCUUUUAAUAAGAUAGAACACACACACGCACGCGUAUAUAUGUAUAUAUUUCUGGCAAAGUGAUUUUCAUUCAGAUUCUUUAGUGAUAUAGUUGUGUGUAUUUGAGGUUAUGUGUCAAUCAUUUGAUUUCAUAUAUAUACAUAUAUAUCUUGUAGUGUGACAACAUAGUAUUGAAGGUUUUGUUUCUAGAUUAUUGUGCGUUUAGUGUGUGUUUACAUAUUUGUGUUUGAUGAUAGAAUUUCUGUAUGCGAUUACUCAGGUCGUUGCGGUGUUAAUUACUUUGAGCGUUUGGGCUAUCGACAGGUUGUCGCUUAGUCCCAAGUGUUGCGUUGUGUAUUCUAUUUCUUUUGUAGAUUAUUAAUAGUAGUUUUAGUUUAGAAAAUAGAUUAUUUAUAUGUUUAUAUAGAGACGUGCAUGUUUCAUAAUGUAGUUCUUAUUUUAUAAUGCUUUACCGGCAUGUAGGCUAGUUUUAAGUAUGUAUUUUAGAUUGUAGAAUGCACAUAGAUUAGUAGUAGUUUAGAAUAUAGAUUUUUAUAUGUUUGUAUAGAGACAUGCAUGUUUCGUAGCGUAGUUCUUAUUUUAUAACUCUUUACCGGAACGUAGGCUAGUUUUAAGUAUGUAUCUUAGAUUAUCGAUUUGAAUCAAUAAUGUAGAAUGUGCACACAUUAAUAGUGGUUUAGAAUAUAGAUUAUAUAUAUAUUUAUAUAUAGACAUGCAUGUUUCGUAACGUAGUUCUUAUUUUAUAACUCUUUACCGGAACGUAGGCUAGUUUUAAGUAUGUAUCUGUUUAAUAGAAUGCGCACACAUAUAUAUAUGUUUCUGACAAUGUAACUUUUAUUUCUUUAAUAAUACAAUAUUGUAUGUUUUAUGUAUUCGUUAGACUAUUAGUUUUUAACUUUGUAUAUACUUAUAUUUCAUAAAUUGAUAAUAUUGUAUUUAUUGCAUAGUAUUAUAAGCGCUAACUCUAAUAUUUACUAAUUUAUUACAUGCCUAGCAUAUAUGUUUAUACUUGUAUGUAACUCUCCAAGUUGAUUGAUUAAAAUAUAUUUAUAUAUACUUGUAUUUCUGGCGUUUCAAUUAUUUCCCCUUUUGUAGUUAUUCUUAUUUUAUGAUUUAUUUGUUUGGUUCGUAACUCGUUCAAUCCGUUAGCUGGUUUUAUUUAUUUUAUUUUACACUGGUUGCAUUUAUUAGUCGCCCUUGUUUUGUUAAUCCUUCCUUUAGUUUCGUAGCGCCGUGUGUUCGUUUGUGCAUUCAAAUCCUUAUUCGCGCGUUUUGUAUAGAAUGGUUUUCUUGUUCUUGUUACGGCGCGUGCGGAGCGCGGGACAUAUUUCGACGUUUAAGCGCUCGUUGAACUCCAUUUUACACUGCAAACGCAAUGCACUACCGUUUAACAGUCGAAACAAUCAAAAUAGCUCGCAAAUCGCGAAGAUUUCGUCGAUUUUGACGAAAAAUAGCCUUCA